CUCUCCUACAAGGUGUGUCUGUGGUUCUCUGUCUUUGGACAUGUAAGAAUUGGGUGUAAAGAAAUGUAGCCUUGGAGAAGUCUGGGGCCAGCUUACUCCCCGCAGGCUCAAGAUCAACCAUCUCACAUAC